UAUUAGUCCAUAAGUAGGGGCUUGGGAAAUGAUACACACAAUGUUGUAUUUCCUUUCCUGUUCCUUGUAUAAAAUAUACCCUUUAACGAGCCAUUGUUUUCCAUGAAACCAGAAAUUAUUUUUUCAGAAGACACAAGAUGACCUCAACGUGCGAUGGGAAUCAUACAGAAGAAGGCGCUCUCUAAGGUAACCCGGACCUAAGCCGGUCAGGGCUUUAAAGCAGGAACCCUUUGAAAAGGUACCAGAAAACUCAUUGAUUGAAGCAGUGAUAAGCAAGCUUUUCACAGAGAACAUUCUGGCAAACAUCUCUGAUCCAAGAACUCCUAGGGGCUAGCAGGUUUAGAUCUGGAUUUGACCCAUGAGGUUCUUACCAUCUUGCUUUAUGUGAAGUUAGUAUAAUACAGGUGCAGUCAAGGAACUGAUGGCCCCGAGCUAUUGAAAAAGGAGAGGCAAGGUGUGUCGAUGGGCUAACAUUCAUGCUGUGAAGAUUCUGGAAAGGCUGCGAGUAAUAAAAAUCAAAUUAAUAAAAACAAAAAUUCUUACUGAAUCAGG